AUGGUGGUUGGUGGAAAGCUUUUGUGGUUUUGGAUGGACUCGCGGCCUAUCAGCUUGUUGGUGGGGUAAUGGCCUACCAAGGCGACGACGGGUAGCCGGCCUGAGAGGGUGGACGGCCACACUGGGACUGAGACACGGCCCAGACUCCUACGGGAGGCAGCAGUGGGGAAUAUUGCACAAUGGGCGCAAGCCUGAUGCAGCGACGCCGCGUGAGGGAUGAAGGCCUUUCGGGUUGUAAACCUCUUUCAGUAGGGAAGAAGCGAAAGUGACGGUACCUGCAGAAGAAGCGCCGGCUAACUACGUGCCAGCAGCCGCGGUAAUACGUAGGGCGCAAGCGUUAUCCGGAAUUAUUGGGCGUAAAGAGCUCGUAGGCGGUUUGUCGCGUCUGCCGUGAAAGUCCGGGGCUUAACCCCGGAUCUGCGGUGGGUACGGGCAGACUUGAGUGAUGUAGGGGAGACUGGAAUUCCUGGUGUAGCGGUGAAAUGCGCAGAUAUCAGGAGGAACACCGAUGGCGAAGGCAGGUCUCUGGGCAUUAACUGACGCUGAGGAGCGAAAGCAUGGGGAGCGAACAGGAUUAGAUACCCUGGUAGUCCAUGCCGUAAACGUUGGGCACUAGGUGUGGGGGACAUUCCACGUUUUCCGCGCCGUAGCUAACGCAUUAAGUGCCCCGCCUGGGGAGUACGGCCGCAAGGCUAAAACUCAAAGGAAUUGACGGGGGCCCGCACAAGCGGCGGAGCAUGCGGAUUAAUUCGAUGCAACGCGAAGAACCUUACCAAGGCUUGACAUGAACCGGAACGGCGCAGAGAUGUGUCGGCCACUUGUGGCCGGUUUACAGGUGGUGCAUGGUUGUCGUCAGCUCGUGUCGUGAGAUGUUGGGUUAAGUCCCGCAACGAGCGCAACCCUCGUUCCAUGUUGCCAGCGGGUUAUGCCGGGGACUCAUGGGAGACUGCCGGGGUCAACUCGGAGGAAGGUGGGGACGACGUCAAAUCAUCAUGCCCCUUAUGUCUUGGGCUUCACGCAUGCUACAAUGGCCGGUACAAAGGGUUGCGAUGCUGUGAGGUGGAGCUAAUCCCAAAAAGCCGGUCUCAGUUCGGAUUGAGGUCUGCAA
rnacentral:rRNA from 1 species